rnacentral:rRNA from 1 species
CCUACGGGAGGCAGCAGUGAGGAAUAUUGGUCAAUGGCCGGAAGGCUGAACCAGCCAAGCCGCGUGAAGGACGAAGGUGCCAAGCAUUGUAAACUUCUUUUGUCAAGGGACAAAAUCAGGCUCGAGAGCCUGACCGAGGGUACUUGAAGAACAAGCAUCGGAUAACUCCGUGCCAGCAGCCGCGGUAAUACGGAGGAUGCGAGCGUUAUCCGGAUUUAUUGGGUUUAAAGGGGGCGUAGGCGGGCUGUUAAGUCAGCGGUAAAAGCCCGGGGCUCAACCCCGGCGAGCCGUUGACGCUGGCUGUCGUGAGAUGGCGAGAGGUAGGCGGAAUGCGCAGUGUAGCGGUGAAAUGCUUAGAUAUUGCGCAGAACUCCGAUUGCGAAGGCAGCAUACCGGCGGCGAUCUGACGCUGAGGCACGAAAGCGUGGGUAUCGAACAGGAUUAGAUACCCUUGUAGUC